rnacentral:rRNA from 1 species
GAUGAACGCUGGCGGCGUGCCUAAUACAUGCAAGUCGAGCGAACAGACGAGGAUCUUGCUCCUCUGACGUUAGCGGCGGACGGGUGAGUAACACGUGGAUAACCUACCUAUAAGACUGGGAUAACUUCGGGAAACCGGAGCUAAUACCGGAUAAUAUAUUGAACCGCAUGGUUCAAUAGUGAAAGACGGUUUUGCUGUCACUUAUAGAUGGAUCCGCGCCGCAUUAGCUAGUUGGUAAGGUAACGGCUUACCAAGGCAACGAUGCGUAGCCGACCUGAGAGGGUGAUCAGCCACACUGGAACUGAGACACGGUCCAGACUCCUACGGGAGGCAGCAGUAGGGAAUCUUCCGCAAUGGGCGAAAGCCUGACGGAGCAACGCCGCGUGAGUGAUGAAGGUCUUCGGAUCGUAAAACUCUGUUAUUAGGGAAGAACAAAUGUGUAAGUAACUAUGCACGUCUUGACGGUACCUAAUCAGAAAGCCACGGCUAACUACGUG